AAUUUAUUUUCUGUAAACCCAAUCUGCGUACUUGUACUUGUUGCUUCCGUGAGCCAGUGGACGUAUAUGUAUGAAAAUAUGUAUAAGUUCACUCUCUGGUGUCAUUCCACGGAAUGACUAUACCACCGAGUGCUCACGGGAGGUCUUCAUAAACUCUGUUUUUUUGAACUCAGUCUGAAUAUUGUUUAUAAUUAAACUUUAAAACUUUCAACAACGGAUCUCUUGGUUCUCGCAUCGAUGAAGAACGCAGCGAAAUGCGAUAAGUAGUGUGAAUUGCAGAAUUCAGUGAAUCAUCGAAUCUUUGAACGCACAUUGCGCCUCCUGGUAUUCCGGGAGGCAUGCCUGUUCGAGCGUCAUUAAAAUCACUCAAGCUUAGGUUUACCUAUUGCUUGGUCUUGGAGAUGGAAGCCAAUUCAUUGGAAUCCUCUUCGAAAUCCAAUGGCGAAGACCCUUGCUCUCCCAAGUGUAGUAAUAACUUAUGUCACUGAAGGAAGCGAGAAAUCUUCCGCCGUAACCCCCAUAUUUUCUAUGAUUGACCUCGGAUCAGGUAGGGAUACCCGCUGAACUUAAGCAUAUCAAUAAGCGGAGGAA
rnacentral:rRNA from 1 species